rnacentral:piRNA from 1 species
UACCUAACGGGAGAUGCUACAUCUUCGUCA